CUUAUAAUGUUAAUGCAAAUAAUGUUUGGUCUCUUACAAGCAGUUGAAGAAUGGCAGGCAGUAUCGGAAGAAGAAAAGCUGGGGAUGGAAAGACAACUCAAAAUUAUCAACAAAUCUCCCGUUAAGAGUUUCAAGACAGAUUAUGGGGAUAUCUUUGAUUGCAUUGAUAUUUACAAACAACAUGCUUUUGAUCAUCCUUUGCUCAAGGAUCACAAAGUGCAGAUGAGACCAAAACAUAUACCAGAGUCGAUGGUGAGAGGCAAAUCUCCAAGGUUUUUGCCCAAACACAUAAAAUGCCCACCAGGAUCAGUGCUUAUCAAAAGAACUACCCAAGAGGAUCUAAUCAUGGACAAGAAAAUAAAAGCUUUAGGAUUGAUUAAUUAUCCUACAAGCUCCCAUUUUAACACCACCGGUGUUGGUCCAAUUGAUUUAACAAUAGGCAAUGCCUAUGCUGCUGCUCAUUAUGAAAAGCACAAUUUUGGAGCAAAAACAAUCAUGAACGUGUGGAGCCCGACUACUUUAUCUGAUCAAGCUAGCUUCGCUUAUCUAUGGAUUGCAAAUGGCCCUGCAGAUGCACUUAAUGUUGUACAGGCUGGUUGGGGAGUUCAACCACAGCUUUUUUCAAGCAACUACACCAGGCUCUUAACUUACUGGACUGUAGAUGGUUACAGAAAAACAGGUUGCACUAAUUAUCUUUGUCCAGGAUUUGUACAAGUUCACCGUCAAAUAAGCCUUGGAAUGGUUCUAAACCAGAUUUCCAUUUACAAUGGAACACAAAGUGAUAUAGAGAUUGCCAUACUUAGGGUAACCAUUUUUUAGCUGUCAAAUCUAAGCAUUAACUUCAUAGGGUAUUGGCCACAAAAACUGUUUUAUUACAUGUACGGUGGUGCCAAUGUGGCUGUAUGGGGAGGAAUGGCUGCUAGCCCGACAAACGAGCUUAGUCCUCCGAUGGGGAGUGGCCAUUUCCCUAAAGAUGGUCAUCAAAAUAAAUCAGCCUACUUCAAACAAACACGAAUAUGGGACAAUGUGAAUUUUGUUGAUCCAGAGGCCGACAAGCUUGUGUUGUCUGCGACCAGACCUGAUUGUUACGGGUCUGAGACUGCUCCCGAUGAUGCUGCACCCAAUGCUAUAGAUUUUUUUUAUGGGGGACCAGGACAAUGUAAUCUUUGA